CCCCCGGCGUCCGUGGACCCCGCUCCGUGUCCCCGCUGGGCACAGCAGCCCGGGCCCUCCACGGCCACGGCCGCUAGCCUGAGGAGGCCCUCCUUCAGCUCCCGCUCUUCCUGCUCGCCGGACACGGACGACCAGGGCGCCUGCGAAGAUGAUUCCAUCUGGGAGAGAUGAGGAAAUUGAAUUCCAAAAUGGUUAAAUGAUUGGCGGCAGUUCACACAACUUGCAUGUGGCAGGGUUUGGACUCUGAAGCUGGUGCUCUUAGUACAUUCCUCCUUCCUGAACUUCACCAUUGGAGGGGGAAAGGGGACCGCAUUUGAGGCCACCGGCCAAAUGUCUGACUUGCACACUGCUCCCCGUGGCGGCGCCUUUCUGGGGAACAGACCUAAGGCAACAGCAAGGAGGUUUUGGGAGAAACGUAGAAUUUGCAAGACUGAAUUUUAAUCUGUGCCUCCAAACAGCUGAAGUUGACCAGCACGGCCAGGCUGCAGGCUAAUUCAUCUGACUUCGUCUCCACGCCUGUCGUCCGCGAGCAGAGUGGUGGCAGCUAGGCCCGUUCACAUCCUAUUAACCUUGUCUGUUGGAAUGACACCUGGCUGUGCUGAAGCCUUGGUUCCUGUAAUUAGGAAUGUAAACAACUCCAGCUUCCUCCCAUCAGCGCUGGCUCUGUGCCUGCCUCCAGGUCUCCCAGCCCCAGGCUGUGCCUCCUGAAACAGGCACACAGCAGGAUCAGUUUCCAUUCAUUGCAGCAAAGGAUCCACUGUGAUGCCAGGGUCUCCAUCAGGUGGCCUGUGGUGGUCCUCCUUGUAGCUUUUGUUAUAAGACCCUGCGGUCAGCUCGCCAGCACACCCCGGCAGAGCCCCGAGUCCGUGCCUGCGGAGAAUACGGAAGCCCAGAGCAUCACCCCCAUCACAGCCUCAGCAUGUGCUCUGAAUCCUCGUAUCAUCAAUAACAUUGAUACCAACUAAUUUAAACCCACUGAACCAGUGAACUUGGGCUGCAGAUGUGUUUAUGAGCAGGAUACUAAGUAGCUAUUUUAACUAAGUGGAACAUUUCUUGCUUCAAUUAAUGAAAAGGUAGCAACUCUGAGGAAAUAUUAGGGGCAUUAAGUUUUAUAUUGGCGCCAUUUAUUAUAUAUGAUUUUUAACACUUUUAAUCACUUUAUUCCAUGUUGACAGCUACUGAGAGAAAAAGAGCUUUCCACGGUGAGUGUGACCCAGGAAUUACUGUCAAGCUGAGACAGAUGAUCAUUAGCCCCUGAGUUGCCUUGGUCUUUUGAGGAAAUAAUGAGGAUUUUAUUAGUUUUAUUAAUGGCACUCAGGGAGAUCAAGUUAUUGAUUAGCAAAGAAUGAGUCCUUAACAUGCACAUUUCUUGGAAAGGGUAAACGAAGUAGAAGGGAAUUAACAUUUAUUCAGCACCUACUGUGUGUCAGGUGUGUGCUGGGCUAUCUACAUACUGAAUUAAAUCUCCAAGCAGUCCUGUGAGGCUGGCUACAGUGAUGUCCAUUACACAGAGGAGGAAAUGGAAAGACUGAGAUACUUGCUCAUUCAGUAAAACUUUUGCAACCUGCUAGUUCACGACGGGGCUUAGAUCGUGAAUACUAUAGUACACUCCCUGCCCUCAGGAAGCUUCUAUUCUGGUGGGGGAACUAGAUAUUUAUGAUUAUUUUUGAUGAUUAUAAUAGUGAAACAAGUGCUGGGACAAGGAGAGAAUGGAGGUUCUCUGGGAACCUGGAAAAGGCAAACUUCAUUUAGACCUUAGGGUGAGAAGUUAAGGAGGGCUUCCUGGAGGAAGUGAUGUGUAAGCUGAGAUCUGGAUGAUGACCAGGGCUCAGCCAGGCAAACAGGGGAGGUGGAAGAGGGGUGGAAGCGUGUGCCAGGUAGAGGGAAUAUUAUGUACCAAGACACAGCAGUAGGGCAGAACCACUAACUUCCCAAGGCUCGUGUCUCUAGUAUGUGACAAAGCUAAUGUCUGAAUCCAGGUUUAUCUGACGCUUUCUAGUGAAACCCAACACAAAAGGGAACCCGUGUUCUUCUUAGCCACAUAAUUAAAAUAUCUAGUCCUCAAAGCAAGCAUCCAAGUAGUCUGAGAUAUGCCAGCGGCUCCUAGUUCGUGCCUUGGUGGUCUGACAGUGACAUCCAUGGUCCCAGAGAGUCAGCAUCUUAGGGCUUUGAAGGCGUGAGAAUUGUUCUUGGCUUCCUUCAUGGUUUCUCACACAGCGAUUUAAGGCUUCAAGGGGAUGUCUCUGUAAAUGUUAGGUUGUGAGGAAGGAAUCCCCGGGCUCGCCAGCUCAAGCGCUUGUAAGGUGCGGGGAGCAUUUUGCCUUCGCGUUGGCGUGACUGAGGGUAAAGCAGUGCCAGCAGAAUGGUGGUUCUUUCUCCACUGCCUGGCUCCGUCUUGCACCCUAUGUGGCCCAUUCCCAGGCAGGUGCUCCCCCUUGUGGGGUGGAUGGCUCUCGCCGUUGUGAUUCUUCAUAUUGUCGGUUGAAGUCCCGACCAUAUACGCAGGAUGGGGUGGGAUGCGAGCGACAACCUAAGCUCAAAUGGAAGCCCUGCCAUCUGAGACCCCUGGCUCUGAUUGGCCGGCUUCAGCCGUCUGCUCUCCCUGGAACACUCGCUGUUGUGAAGGGAAUGCGAUAAGCUGGUUGGCUGAGGCCGGGCUUGGGCGCUCCACGCCAGCUGCACAGGGGCUGCGCGUGUCCAAGACACGGUUCUGGGGUGGGGGGGAAAUGGGGCUGUAACUGAAAGGAUGGGGGGUGGAUCCCGGGCUCUUGCGAGACUACCUCAUGCCCUAAGGAUAUCAGUCCUCUCUUGAAAUCCCAGUGACACCCACGACAAACACCAGCCUUGGGGAAACGCUGAGGGGGAGCCACAGCUGUUUCAGGGGUCGCGUGGAAGGAAGCCAGUCUGCUCUAGAAACCCCAACACCGGCGUUCCCGUCGAAGCUGCACUUCUACGCGCUGUGACACCUCAGGCACAUCUUUUAGUCACUCCGGGCCUCAGCUUCCCUCUUUGUGAAAUAGGAAUGUUGAUCCUGGGUUUGCAGUGCUAUUGGUAGGAUAGAUGGGAUACGGGACAUAAAACCCCCGGUACCUGUCACACACCGUCCACGCGGUAACCGCCAGCAGAUCCAGUGAGCUGCCUGGCUUUGAAUCCUUCCGCUCCUCUUAGUAUGUUAUUCAACUCCGUUAGCUCUAUGAUAUCUUCCUUUUUCCUAUUAUUACCUUAUCAUAUUUUUCUUUUUGUUCUAUGUAGUCUUGUUUGGUAUUUUUAAUCUUUUAGAUUUAUUUUUUCAAUCUUAUUAUAACUUAUUCUCUCUAUUUACCCAUUUUAUCUUAUGUUAUCUACAUAGCUUACCAUUUCGUACGAUAUUGUAAAGAGAACAUGAUAUACUGUGUUUAUUUUCUAGUCACCAUUUUUAUCUUUCUAAGACUGCCUUUGAGCGAAUUUCUUCUAUUAGUAAAUGCAAUUAAGUUGAUCCUAC
rnacentral:lncRNA from 1 species